rnacentral:rRNA from 1 species
UAAGGAAUAUUGCUCAAUGGGAGAAAUCCUGAAGCAGCAACGCCGCGUGGGGGAUGAAGGGUCUAUGACUUGUAAACUCCUGUAAAGAAGGAAAAAAUUCCCAUUAGAUGGGAGAUGAUGGUACUUCUGGAGUAAGCCCCGGCUAACUACGUGCCAGCAGCCGCGGUAAUACGUAGGGGGCAAGCGUUGUCCGGAUUUACUGGGUGUAAAGGGUGCUCAGGCGGAUUUGUAAGUCAGAGGUGAAAUCUUACAGCUUAACUGUGAAACUGCCUUUGAUACUGCAAGCCUAGAGUAUGGAAGAGAGCGAUGGAAUAUCUGGUGUAGCAGUGAAAUGCGUAGAUAUCAGAUAGAACACCAAUGGCGAAGGCAGUCACUUGGUCCAUUACUGACGCUAAAGCACGAAAGCGUGGGUAGCAAACA